UUAUUUAACAAGUUUUUUAAAUAAAUAAGUUUUCCAUUGGAAUAUCGCUUGUUAAUAUUUAUCUGUUAUUAUAUAUACACACAUUUUGAGAUAUAGACUCUACAUGAUCUCUUGACCACUCUUUUUUCUUUAUUCAGCCAUUUCUCUCGCCAUUAUCAAGGGACACAACUCAACACCUUUGUGAAACCCUAAUUGAUACGAUGAGAAUCACACAUAACGUCAAGCUCUUACUCUUCUUUUUCCUCAUCUCUCUCCUCCUCACCGUAUCUGCUGGCGAGUCUAAGUGCGAGUGUUCACACGAAGAAGACGAAGGGAACAAAGCGGGAGCCAGGAAAUACAAGAUCGCUGCCAUACCUUCCGUUCUCGUCGCCGGAGUUAUUGGCGUUCUCUUUCCGUUGCUAGGAAACUUCUUUCCGUCGUUAAGACCGGAGACGAACUUCUUCUUCGUGACAAAAGCCUUCGCCGCAGGAGUAAUUUUGGCCACGGGGUUUAUGCACGUGCUGCCUGAAGGCUACGAGAAGCUUACGUCACCUUGUCUGAAAGGAGAAGCUUGGGAGUUUCCGUUCACUGGGUUCAUUGCGAUGGUCGCAGCGAUUUUAACCCUCUCCGUUGACUCUUUUGCCACGUCAUAUUUUCAUAGAUUGCAUAAUAAGACGUCUAAGAAGAUCGGUGAUGGUGAAGAGCAAAUCGGUGGCGGUGGUGGUGGAGACGUGCUCGGGUUGCACGUGCAUGCUCAUGGUCACGCGCACGGAAUUGUCGGUGUAGAUUCUGGUGAAUCCGAGGUUCAGCUUCACCGUACUCGAGUUGUGGCCCAGGUGUUGGAGGUGGGAAUAAUCGUACACUCAGUGGUAAUAGGAAUAUCACUGGGAGCAUCACAAAGUCCAGACACUGCCAAAGCUCUCUUUGCUGCUUUAAUGUUUCAUCAAUGCUUCGAAGGUCUUGGCCUUGGUGGUUGCAUCGCUCAGGGGAAAUUUAAUUGUAUGUCGAUAACAAUAAUGUCGAUAUUUUUUUCUGUAACGACACCAAUCGGAAUAGCAGUUGGAAUGGGAAUAGCAAGCUCUUAUAAUGAGUCGAGCCAGACGGCUCUGAUAGUUCAAGGAGUGCUUAAUGCUGCAUCCGCAGGGAUCCUCAUCUAUAUGUCUCUCGUAGAUUUUCUCGCAGCUGAUUUUAUGCACCCUAAGAUGCAAUCUAACACUGGGCUUCGAAUUAUGGCCCAUAUCUCUCUUCUUAUCGGUGCUGGAAUUAUGUCACUUUUAGCUAAAUGGGCUUAAAAUUAGCAACCAAAAAAAAAACCCAUUACGCUUAUAGUUUAUUGUUUGUUAAUACGAGAUGUUUCCUAAUAAAUAUCGAUUUAGAUUUCUGUACUUCUUUUACCAAAAAAUGCUGUUUUAUAGUGUUAAUGUAUAUUUGUAAACAAAAUUUCAGGUGUAGUCUGUUAGUUAAAAAGAUAAGGUAAUAAAGUGUAUUAAUAAAAUGUAUGAUAACCUUUUGCUUUAAUAGGGAAAACUUCUUAGAAUUUUUCUUUUGAUAAUAAUGUUAAAUUUAUUAGAAAAUCACUCCUUUUUUUGCCUAAAAGAAAAUUUUAAUUGAAAACGAAAGUAUAUAUCUUUAAACUGAGAAAAAUAAUCAUAUUUAAUGGAGUUUAUGUUCAAUUCUUCAAAGUUCAAAUUACCUUAUAAUAACUGACAGCUAGCUGAUUAGUUAGAUCAAAAGAUCAAACGAAAUUAAAUCUAUAUCAUACAUACAAUAAGUAAAAGGAGGAUAAUCUGAUCAAGGGGAGUGUCCACGUGGGCAUUUAUAAUCGACCAAUCAGGUUGUCUGUUUCUUCCAUGUCAUUUUCUAUUGAUGAAAUUGGGCUUCUGCAAUUUAUUGUUUGUUUUGGUUAAUGAGGUGAAGCCCAAUAUGGCAUGUACAUUAUUUAUGAACAACACAACACGCCGUUUUAGGGUUUGGCCUAUUCUUCGAUCUCCGACACCAAAACAGCUCGUCUGCGUUCUCAGACGAUUUCACCACCCUAGAAAUCAUCGACAUCUAGGGUUCAUCCCCUUCUUUGAGCUCUGAUCAGUUCAGCCGACAAUGGAGAUCCGGGAGGGUUCUGUGACGAAUCUCUGAAUCUAGAUGCCUUCGUAUCGUUUUGCUUGAGUGGUCCUAGAACCGUUACGGGAUGCAUUGAUUCAUUGUCAUUAACAACUGUCUUAACUUCUUUGACCCACUCAUCUUCCAUUUCUUCCAGACGGUGGUUCUUCAACUAUAAAUAGCAUCCGACCUUCAGUCCCAGUCCCACACAUCUUCUGACGAGCGUCAGUCUCUGUUCUACUUGCCGACUUGAACUUGAAGGCCGGCCAGUGUUCUUCCACCGAGGUGUGGUUGCUCAGAUUCUGGAAAGCCAAAAAACUUCAAACGCGAUGGGGAGUUGAUGGGAGUCUACAUGAUCUUCGUCGAUGUUAAGUUAACACUCAUGCCACCCACCUUGAAUGUCAACUGUUUCACCACCUUCCGAUACUGUCUCAACACAGAUCUAUAUGUGUCAAAGGAAUGAUUUCCAGAGGUAGGACUUGCUAUGCAACAGUUUUGACGAGCAAGCAACAGUUCACUGGAGAAGAAGAAAUAGGAGACUCGAGCACACAAGGCUCAGAUUAACGCUGCUGUCUUUGUAGCUGGUGUGGAUGCAUCUGUUACUGCUGUCGCAGGAGCAACCGUUGUGUCUUCCAGCUUUGGGAAGGAUGAGAAAAUGGCUAAGUCAGAAGUAGCAGUUGCCACGACCCUUGCGGAUGCUCUGUAUAUGCAGGCUGAUGAAGUGAUUGGAGCUAAGCGAGAGCAUUUGGCCUUACGAAGCAGAGAUUCACAGUCUAGGGGAAACCUUCAAGAAUGAAGAUUGUAGACAAUGAGAAGAGCGGAGAGUAACUUAUCAGAAACUCUAAAAGCGUUGUUGAAAGAUUUGAUACCAAUCUUGACAACUUGGACAUCAGUGACCUGUACAAUACUUGGAUCCGUAGCUGUUAUAUGUCUGAUUCUUUAAUUUUUCCCAUCAAAAGUUCUGAUUUUGUAUCUUACCUUUUGUCUAAUGAUCAAUUUUUUUGUAAUACAAUCAGCUUUGAUCAAUGGAUUGUACAUCAUCUUUCUCAUAGGUGUUUUGAUGAUUUAAUUUUUUUUGUUUAAACUAUAGCAUCUUCUUCUGCGUUUCAGAAGCUAAAACUAUGACCUUAUGUGAUUUAUUUAAGUUUUUACGUUUUUUUCAGUGGGUCUAUAUGAUGAAGGGAGAUUGAAUUUGGAGCUUGAGGUUUGACUGAUAAGUGUGCAUUGAACUUAGUUUUGAGGACCAAUCAGACACUGUUACACUUAUGUUCAAGGUCAUCAUCAAGAUAUCAGUAGGGAGAUGGAUCACAAAGGGAGACAAGUAAUCUGAAGUUUGGAAGCUUAGCGUAUGAUGAUAAGUUGUGACACCUAAAAUAGCAGGUUUGGUGGUCUAUCUCAAGAUUUUGUCUCAUUAAUUAUGAUUUCUAAUGUUUUUGUGGAUUUAGGUGAAGUGGUGAAAAGUCGAAGGCAAGGAAGAAACCAUGUCUUCUGCAAUUGUUCCAGCCAUAGAACGUGCAGUAACACCAGCUAUUGAAAAAACCAUGUCUUCUGCAACUACAGAGGGCUUCCAGGUUUGAAACUAAUGAGAAAUGGUAGAGGUGAUUUCUUUCUAUUGUUGAAAAAAUGCUAUUCUUUCUUAUAUAUAGAGUGGAGUUGGUGAUCAUUGUUCUUUUUUUUUUUUUUUUUUUUGCAUUUCUAAGUGUUUCACAACUAUUUAUGAAUUUAGGAUUCCACUGCUGUACUCAACUUCAACCUGCUACCAUCGAUCCACUUUCGACACCAAUACUUUUUACAAAAAAAGCAUUUGUAGUUUCUUUUGAUUGGUAUAGUCAUGAGCAUAGCUUCAUGUAUAGGUGGGCUUUUUCCAUUUUGUAUAAGGUUGUCUUCUAGAUUUGAACUCGAAUGGUCUUUUCAUAAUCAUGGUCUAUUUAUAAACUGCACAGACGAUAGCUAGGAGACAUGCAUCUUCUUUGAGUUUAAUUGAGAAGUGAAAAAGUGCAUCUUCUUUUAUUUUCUUAGCAAAUAUAAUAUUAAAAAUGUAAUCAUACUUAAGACCGCAAGGAUUUUCAGGAUCAUUAUAGCACUUUGAGGUGAGUUUUCCAAGGGUUGUAUAUGUACCUAAGUUAGAUAAAAUGUUGAUUCUGCAUGUUAUUUCACUAGGAAUACGAAUUUUGAACCGUGUGAUAUCAGAUCCGAUGAGCAUUCUCCUAAAGCCGCAUUGCAUCAAAUUAUGAUGGUGUCUCUGCAACUGUUUAACAUGUUUUACCAUUUUCUGUGUUUUAGGAGUUAAUGCUUCCUGUAUCGGUUAGUUCCAUGCUUGCUUGCAUAGAGAUUGCUUGCAUAGAGAUCAGAUGAGCACAGAUUCUUUGUGGCGGUUCUUGAUUUGAGCUUUGUUAUGGAUGGUAAAGGGUUAUUUGGACAGAACUGGCUAUGAAAUUCACAGCUGCUUGCUGUCGGAUACCAACAGCCUCUGUUAAUGUAACUUAAAUUAUAUCAGCAACCAUAGGACAUGGAGUGUUGUGCUUAUUAUGUUCUGUUCCGGACAGCUCUUGCAUGGAGAAUGCUCUACGGACAGCUCUUGCAUGGAGAUUGCUGUACGGACAUAUAUCCAAAACCAUUGUUGUUUUGUCCUUCGGAAAAACUCUGAUCCAGACGUUAAUAAGCUAAAUUCUAUCACAUUUACAAGUAAUUAGAUAAAAAACUUUACAAUCUUAGUUUCAUCAUGUUCGUUCAAAACGUGAGCUUAGUAACUGAAUUUUGUGUUAUUUAUAUAUUCCAGACGUCUAUUGAUCCAUCAGCGUAGACGGUUUCUGUUUGUUGCAGAUGGUAAUAGUUCUUAACCACUGGAAUUUACUUAAAGCCGUGACAUAACUAAGCUCUGGACUGCAGGACAAAGUAUUCAUCAAGUUGUUAAAGCUGAGAACUUUAGUUUAUUUGGUUCAAUUUGGUUUGCAUGGGUUUAUUAACAUGGAAUCCCUUCUCAGGAACUGAAUCAUGGAUAAUGCUGAGACCAGAUGUGAAUUCUGAUUUCUAUUCGGUUCAUGCGGAAUUGUGCAAGAAAAACAUUGGUACAAUGACGGUUAAUUUUCAAGUCAAUUACAAGGAAGCCGAAAAGAAGAACCAAUGCAGCUCCGUCUCCAAAGUAUUCUAUGUCCCAAAAUGUUUUUUUUGCAAGCUCUUUUGAGCAAAGACAUCUAUCUAUUUGUAUUUAAUUGAUAUAACAAAGUUGGUUAUGAAAAAUUUCAUCAAAAAAAAAAAAGUUGGUUAUGAAAUAAAAACUUCUGUAUUAUAUGGAAGAAAUCUCUAAGAAUAAAAUUCUCUCUUUACUAAAUAAAAAUAGAGAAACAUUAAAUAUAAAGUUAAUAUUAGAUAGUAUAUUAAACUUUGGAAACAAACCCAUAUGUUUAAAUCCAAAUAGAUCAAAAACUAAGUAUAACAAAUUCAAAACUAUAUUAUAAUUUGUUCCCAUGUAUUAUUUGUGUGAUCAAAUUUUAAUAUUUUAACUAAAAUGACCCAAAAUGUAUAUACAACUACCACUGAUAAAUUUGUAAAAUUUAUUAGCAUCAAAUAUAAAUUUGAAAAAAUAAAGAAUACAAAAUGAUUACAUUAAAAUAAUUAUAAAAAAAACUCAGUUUAUUUUCAUCGUAUUUGUUAUGUUAAUUGUGUUAUUUUACAUAUAGUUUAAAUAUGUUUUACAUGAACAUAAAUUCUAUGAUACAAUUGAAAAAAAUAAACCCAAAUUAAAAUUUGGAAAUAUUACACAAUAUUCAAUUUAAAUUGGUAACAAAUAAACUGUUCCAAAUUUAGUUAGAAAUAAUAUAUUACUAAAUUUUUAUAUAUAAAUAAAACAAAUUUAAAAUAUGUAAUCUGCGCGUAGCGCGAAAAAUGGCUCUAGUAAUAAUAGAUGAAUUGCUGUUCUCUUCUAAAACUGUACACGUCGACAAAAUUGAGUUAAGUGGGACCUGCAACUAUUCAAUUUUUCUUUACAAUUAAAUAAGAUGUAUAAUUAAUUUAUCGUAAUCCCUAAUUUUUUAUUUAUUAUAUUUCCUAUGUAUAUCUGAAACAGUGUAUUAUCUGUAACCGUUCACAUUCAAAUCUAUAAAUCUCUCUCUUCUCUCUGUUCUCUCACAUCUAUUUUUCACGGAGAAAGAGAGGAGACUAAACCUUUUGUGAAAUCUUUUAAUCUUUCAGAUCAGAUCUUUUUUUUUUCUGUUUUAGUUCUGGUCAAGCGAUCUAUGCUUGGUCGGAUUUUAUCUUUCGCUUAGCGAGUUUGUACUUUUUUUGUUGUCUGUUUCGAUUCAAACAGAACCGUUCUUCAAUGGUUUUUAUUUUUCUUUUGUUUGAGUCGAGAAAUAAAUUUCCAAUCUAUCAGAUUGGAUUCUCGGGUAGCUCUCUAAGCAUCACUUAACUCCAUCUGAUCUCUACUCAACUAGGUCGACCGAGUUUGAAGAGGGCAAUAUCGUGUUUGCUUUCCGUCAAUCCUGAGUGGGGCGGCGAAGUUCUUCCAAUUACCUUCACUGGAGCCGUGAACGCUCUCAUCACAGCCAGCUGUUGAAGGUUGAUGAUGAGCGAGGAAGGCGAUCAAAGAGAAGGUGCAUCCCUUUACAGGUGAAGAUUGGUGGGCCGGCAACAAAGCCAUGGUAAAUCGAGGAUCUACCGGCGAAGUUGUGUUAGCUUUUUCUCACCAGGCAGCAGCGCGUGGUCAAGAGGAUAACUGCAUGAACGAUGCGUGGCUGUUUGCCUAUCACUUAAGGCGGUGGCUUGGAGCGGUAUAUUGGACCUCCAUUUUUGGGCUUAGUAACUUUAAUUUCAUAGUUUGUAAGUGUGAGAUUUGGGCCAUUAUCAAUACUUGUAUAGUCAAUAGAUUGGAUCUCGGAAUCACCAACAAAACAUAUCCCUCAUUUUACGCAAUCAUUCAACUAAAAUUGAAUUAUAUACGUGGCUAAAUAUUAUUUUCUAUUUGUGAACAA